rnacentral:rRNA from 1 species
GAUGAACGCUGGCGGCGUGCCUAAUACAUGCAAGUAGAACGCUGAAGGAGGAGCUUGCUCUUCUGGAUGAGUUGCGAACGGGUGAGUAACGCGUAGGUAACCUGCCUGGUAGCGGGGGAUAACUAUUGGAAACGAUAGCUAAUACCGCAUGACAACAGUUAUUGCAUGAUAACUGUUUAAAAGGGGCAACUGCUCCACUACCAGAUGGACCUGCGUUGUAUUAGCUAGUUGGUGAGGUAACGGCUCACCAAGGCGACGAUACAUAGCCGACCUGAGAGGGGGAUCGGCCACACUGGGACUGAGAGACGGCCCAGACACCGACGGGAGGCAGCAGUAGGGAAUGUUCGGAAAUGGACGGAAGUCUGACCGAGCAACGCCGCGGGAGUGAAGAAGGUUUUCGGAUCGUAAAGCUCUGUUGUAAGAGAAGAACGAGUGUGAGAGUGGAAAGUUCACACUGUGACGGUAUCUUACCAGAAAGGGACGGCUAACUACG